AAAUUUCCUAGUCCAUUCCCUAACUAGCCCAUAACCGGAUCUCUCCCCCUCCUUUAAAGCCCCUUUUUAUCCGAGGCCUAAAAAAGGGAUCAGAUCCUUGCACCUCAGCAGAGGGCGCCGUUCCUAGGCCUUCUUCUUCCUCAUUUUCUUAGAAAUAAUCAGAGGACCCCUCUUUUGGAAAGACCCCUUGAACAACGGCGUAGCUUGCCCCCUUCUCCUCCUUUCCUUCAUCACCUCCAACCAUCAGAUCCCUUACCCAAGAACCCAGAAACCAGAGAAAUAAUCAGAUCGUUCACAUAAAAGAAAAGAGACCCCUUUGUAUUUGCUUUCUCAAAAAGAGGAGCGCCGUUUCUGGCUCUCCAUCUUCACCAAGAGAGCCGCCUGGUCCCCUCCCUUAAAAAAAUAGACCAUCGGACCCCCCAUUCCCCAAGCACACACGAGAUAGUGAAGAACCAAUUUCAAAAUUCCGAAUUCAAAACCCAGAUCUGAAAAUGAAAUUUCGAAAUUCAAAGUUCACCCUGAGAUUUAUAACUCCACAGACCUCAAAAACUAAAAAAAAUGAGUGAAAGGAAGAUCUCGAAGAGCUGUUGCCGUUUCUACUGAUUUCGCUUUUUUGGAAUUACUGGGAUUUCAAAAAUGCUGCUGUUCUGUAUUGGAAUUAUUAGUUGAGCUCUACUGCUUGUUUGCUUAAGAGGUAAACUCAAAAGCACCCCUUUGUAUUUUGUUAUAUUUAGUGAUGAAUGCUUGAACAGUGAAGUGAGUUCCAAUUGUUUGUGAUAUUGAGUUUAAUCAUUUAUUUCUCCUACUGGUUCAAUUCUGUUAGAAGCUAGAGUUACGUUUUCCUUAAUACUUCUGCAAUCUGCCAUGUUGUAUAUGGACGUUAAGCGAAAUAGACCUUCAUUUAUAAAAGAAGAACAAUAACUUUAAAUAGCAUCUAUUUGAAUCUUUAAGGUUAUGCAUUUUAGUAAGGAGGGAAUACGGUGAAGUGGAGGUUUGGUCUUCCAGAUCAUUAUCUUCAAGGAAAUCAUAAUAUUAGUUUCUGUUGCACAGUGAAGUGGAGGUUCUUAGAAGAUGAAAAUAAUUAUUUCUUGUAGUUUCUUUUCCGAUUUGAAAUCACGUUUCCCUUAUUUAAUUGUUUAUUUGUCUUGUUUUAGAUUAGUUCAAAUUAUUUAGUUUUCCAUCUUCACUGGUUUUGACAUUUUCGAUUUGGCACACUUUGGUUUGAAUGAGUUAUAUAAAGUACUGAAGAUUUUAUUUUCUUGGUUCUUUCCCUUUUGUUGCUUGUUGCUGGUUUAAAGGAGCAGGCCAAUAUUUAGUUAGUUAAGAACUUGAAAUAUGUAUUAAUUUUACAUCCUCUAAUACUUUAUCAGUGUUUGAACAAAAUAUUUUGGGCCGAAGUAUUUAUUGUUGUGCAGCCCAAUUUAGUUGGUCCAUCUUUUCUAUAACAAAUGAUAGAAUUGUAAGCAUUUAAAUUUUAUCGAAUUUAAAUUGAUAAAAUAAUGCCGACUAUGUUUUAAAUAUAUUAGUCCAAAUAAAUUUAUUGAGAUAAUAUAAUUGAAUUAUUUAUAUAAGUCCAACAUAUAUGGAUUAAAUAAAUGAGGCUUAAUCCAUUGGACUUGUCCAUUUAGUUGAGCUACAAAUAAUGAGUCCACUUCAUUAGGCCCAAUAUGUCAUCUUUCUAGAGGCCCAAGUUUGGUGCCACAUGUCAAAUAACGUGGCACGCUAAGUCAAACGAAAGAGCUAAUAGGAUCAUGCCACGUGUCAAAAUGACAAGGCAUGCUAAGUCACAUUAAAAGACUAAUAAAAUCGCGCCACUUGUGCAAGUGACAUGUUCUGGCCAAUCAAAUGCAGUCAUGUCACACUUCAAUUUGAUUGGUCGGAAAGAGUUUGUUCUUAUCAUAACUCUUCCUUUCUACAACUAUAAAUAGGGGUCUUCAUAACUCAAAAAAGACAUUAGAAGUUAUAACAAGAAACAAGAGAGAACUCGCGGAUCAAACGCUGUAGAUUUCUCUAAAAGCUACAAGCAUUCAAGUGUUCUAAGGAUUAAAAGAUCAAGACGAAGAUUCAAGAACAAGCUGCAAGCCCUUGGAUUAAAAAUACGUCAAGAUCAAGAUCAGGCUUCAAGCACUUGGAUUAAAAUAAAACAAAAUUCAAGAUCAAGCUCAAAUGCCCUUGAAUUUAUACUAGAAAAGUAGAAUAAGAGGAAUCAUAGAGAUUGUACACUCAAAUAUUCGAAAUAAAAUACUAUGAUUGUUGCGCUA
rnacentral:lncRNA from 1 species